CAAAAUGACACCAUAGUCUGACAGACUGAGCUUCUCCCAUUGUUCUCAAAGCUCUUGGACCAGUAUGCAGAAGUAUCUACAACCUUCUCCAUGUCCAGAUAACAUCUGUGUGUAUUGGGCUCCGUAAGAGUUUUGAUGACCCGUGGUAGCAGAGAUAGUAUCAUCUGGAUCUUCACUGGUGAAUAGUGGAGCGCCUGGAUUUUCUGUUCCCUGGACUGGUGACCACUAAGCCCUUCUCUCUCUAAAAAGAAAGAAGAAAGAAAGAAAGAAAGAAAGAAAGAAAGAAAGAAAGAAAGAAGAAAGAAAGAGAUUCUACUUAAGAAAAAGGAGAGAACCAACCAAAACUGAGGGAGUUGGCAGUCUCUUCUAUAUGUAUCUAUCAGAAACCCCUAGAAAAUAUUUUACUUAGUGGUAAAACAUUAGACAUGUGCUCUUUAGCGUCAAGAGCAAGUCAAGGAUACCUGUUAUCAUAACUUCUCUUAAACACUGUAUAGAGUCUUAGCCAGUGUGACACUUUAAAAAAGAAGGAGAAGGAGAAGAAGGAGAAGAAAGAAGGAAAGAAAAUUUCUCAUAUUUGCAGACCAUGGGAUUAUUUACAUAGAAAUUGCAAAAGAAUUUAUAAGUAAGUAAUUCAAACAAAUAGGAGAAUUCAGCA